GGCCUGAUGGUCUAGAGGUACGAUGCUUGCUUCGGGGGUGGAGUCCCAGCCCAUUUGGAUGAGGCAUGAAUGCAAGAGGUCCCGGGUUCGAUUCCCGGUCAGGCCC